GUAGGAACCUGAAGACGGAGUCCCAUCUCCGAAACGUCGUUUUACGUUUUACAUUUUAUAUUUUACUAGACGAUGGAUAAUAUCCAAGGAAAUUUUUAUUCAUAUAAAAUAGUUUCUCAUACUGAACGAAGCUCCGGUAAGUGCAAGAAGCUACAAUUGGUGUCACAACUUGGUCGAAUUUUGACACGCUGGAACCCCCUCCCGUUUCUCUAACUUGACGGAUAUGUAUUGGUCAUGGGAAUCACUUGGAUCUGUCGACCAGAACUAACUGGUGCACAUCAUUGUAGUAUUAAUAAUGGCGGCAGCAGCAACAAAACAACAACAACAAUAGUAAUAACAAUUCAGAUCUUUAUUUUAACGUGUCAACUUGGCAGCUAUAGGAGCCAGUUACAGAGUCAGCACAAGUGAAUAAAAUUAAUGCAAAAACAAGAACAAAGACAUAAAUAAACAUGAAGAAAUAUA